GGGUCCAUCCUAAUUCCUACAGGCUCAUGCUGGUGCCUGCUGGGUUUCGCUGGUGGACCACAUUAAUUUGGGGAAACCCUCAUAAAAACAGGCACUUGUUGCCUAUUUGUAUAGAGGAUGUUCUCAACAAAUU